rnacentral:rRNA from 1 species
GUCGGGCUUCUAAGGGAUACUACUGAGCUUGGAACCGGGGCGAGGCUAGAGGUACUCCAGGGGUAGCGGUGAAAUGCUGUAAUCCUUGGGGGACCACCAGUGGCGAAGGCGUCUGGCCAGAACGGGUUCGACGGUGAGGGACGAAAGCUAGGGGCGCAAACGGGAUUAGAUACCCCGGUAGUCCUAGCCCUAAACGAUGCGGGCUGUGUGUCGGUCUCGACGCGAUCGGGACCGGUGCCGUAGGGAAGCUGUUAAGCCCGCCACCUGGGAAGUACGGUCGCAAGGCUGAAACUUAAAGGAAUUGGCGGGGGAGCACCACAACGGGUGGAGCCUGCGGUUUAAUUGGAUUCAACGCCGGAAAGCUUACCGGGUGCGACAGCUGUAUGAAGGCCAAGCUGGAGACUUUGCCAGACUAGCUGAGAGGAGGUGCAUGGCCGUCGACAGUUCGUAUCGUGAGACAUCCUGUUAAGUCAGGCAACGAGCGAGACCCGCAUCCACAGUUGCCAGCGUCUUCUCCGGAAGACAGGCACUCCGUGGAGACCGCCUUUGCUAAAGAGGAGGAAGGAGCGGGCUACGGUAGGUCAGUAUGCCCCGAAUCUCCCGGGCCACACGCGGGCUACAAUGGUUGGGACAAUGGGACUCGACUCCGAAAGGGGAAGGUAAUCUCCUAAACCCAAUCUCAGUGCAGACUGAGGGCUGAAACUCGCC